CAAAGUAUAGCUUAAACCAAAGCAUCUUGCUUACACCAAGAAAAUGCUAGUUAAAACCUAGUUUCUUUGA
rnacentral:tRNA from 1 species